AUACGUAUGUCGCAAGCGUUAUCCGGAUUUAUUGGGCGUAAAGCGCGUCUAGGCGGCUUAGUAAGUCUGAUGUGAAAAUGCGGGGCUCAACCCCGUAUUGCGUUGGAAACUGCUAAACUAGAGUACUGGAGAGGUAGGCGGACCUACAAGUGUAGAGGUGAAAUUCGUAGAUAUUUGUAGGAAUGCCGAUGGGGAAGCCAGCCUACUGGACAGAUACUGACGCUAAAGCGCGAAAGCGUGGGUAGCAAACAGGAUUAGAUACCCUGGUAGUCCACGCCGUAAACGAUGAUUACUAGGUGUUGGGGGUCGAACCUCAGCGCCCAAGCUAACGCGAUAAGUAAUCCGCCUGGGGAGUACGUACGCAAGUAUGUAACUCAAAGGAAUUGACGGGG
rnacentral:rRNA from 1 species